rnacentral:lncRNA from 1 species
CACCUGGGCCAACCGUGAACUCUGUCCCAGUUGAUCCAGGCGCCGGGAAGAGGAGUUGCAGCGGCCACCCCUCUGGCCUCUUUCUGCCCAAGCUGGGUCCCCAAUCCCAGUUCAGCAAACCCUGAGGCUCACCCCUGCGCUGAUGGAUGGCUGAGUGUGGACUACCUGCAGCGGCUCUCCCAGCUUUCCAAAAGCACGAGACACACUAUGGGGUCCCCAGCCACAGCCGGUGAAAACGGCAGAGCUGCCCCCAGACCACAAUUACCUGCUGGUCACUCACCCGCAUGUGCUUCGGACACUUUUGUAACUUCGCGACUGAGAGCACUGGCUUCUCCCAGCAGUUCCCCAGGCUUCGGCCCUAGACCACCGGUCUGAACGACCUCUUCUACCUUUCAGUGUAUCGAGACUACUUUUUGUCCUAUGUCCACAGGAGUAUGUUCUCUGAACCACCAGAGCCUGGAUUUUAUUCUGCCCACUCCCAGCUCAGCCAAGCUGUGGUCAUCGUGAUCAGGAGAGCCCACGAGGCCCUGCAUGCCAUCCCAGGGGAGCACUGACUCACUCUCCGGAAUCGUAAAGGCUUCAUCCGCCUGGCACUGAGGCACAGGUAAGCAGGGGCCCAGCCAGGAAUGCAUUCAGUGGUCAGAACCUCACAGUGUGUCUGGGGAUCCACAUUCUAUCCCUACACACCGGUCCCCUGGAGGUGGGCUGU